ensembl:antisense Ccdc142os coiled-coil domain containing 142, opposite strand
UUCCGGCGGCUCCGCGGUACUUCGCGCGGCUGACCUCCGGGGCCACCCGCGAAUACUUCAGCCAUUAGCAGUGUUCUGUGCCACACAGCAUAAGCAGUGAAUGUGCAAAAUCCCCUUCGCAGGAAAACGUCCUUCAGCCCUCUCCCUCGGGGUCCUGCCUGCGAGAUCUAGGUCAGCACCACCCCACAUCCUGGCUCCUUCCUUGGAAAGGAUGUCACUGCGGGGACUGUCCACCCAGCAGAAGAACCUCCCUGACCACUCCGAAGUCUUGCUUGAGCUGCAGCGCCCCCUGCAGGCUAGAUGUCCAGCACCAGGAAGAAAGAAAAAUUACCAGGACACAAUCGAAGUCUCCAGUAUCGACCCCUCGGCAUGUGGAGCUUGAAGCCUUGUGUGGCUUGUUUAUGGCAUUCUUGGACAAACAGACCCAGUGAUUCUUUGGGCAGGAGCUGUAUGGGGAGGAAGAAAGUAAGAAGGGCUAGUCUAUUAGACUGGGAAUGGUGUUUCUCUCUCUGAGGUCUCAGUGUGGGCAUCUGUAAAACCCUGAUGCCUCACUGUGGGAGCAUGGGCAUUUUCUAAGGAGGUCUGGACCUAAACCAUGCACAGUACCUAGGAUUAGAGGUUUCCUUAGUAAUCAAAGGCACAUGACAAGUCAGGCGUGUUGGGCAUGCGGCUAGACUCCCAGCAUUUGGAAAGUAGAAUCAGAGUAUUAGAAGCUCAAUGGCCAGGGGAUGGAGAGAUGGCUCAGUGACUGAAUGAAUGCUCCUCUAGAGUCUUGAGUUCAAUUCCUAGAAACCACAUGGUGGGUCAUAACCAUCUGUAAUGAAAUCCGAUGCCCUCUUCUGAUGUGUCUGAAGACUGCUACAGUGUACUUGCAUAUAUAAAUCUUUUUUU